GUCCAAUUUCCAAUAACUGAAAUACCUGAAUGAUAAUUUUCUUAGAAAGCAGAGUACCUCUGUGACGGAUUUAAUAAGUGCUGACAUGUGCAGAACUGCUCAUUUUUACAGCUUUCUGUGACAAGCAAGUUCUGAGAGACGUAUGUAUACCUCAUCAGAGCAUUUAAUUGGAUCUUUAGUGCUAUGUUCAGAUUAUAAGCUUAAAUAUGGAAAAAAAGGGGCUUUUUUGGGGAACUGUCUCAGCAUUCAUGAAGAUUAUUGACUUUAUUGUUUCUGCAUUUCAGACAUUUAGAGUGGACUUUUUCAGCCCUUCAGUUUGCAGAAAAGGACUUUUUUUUAGUGUCUGCAUUGUAGCAUGAACACUAAUGACUACUUUCCAUCUGUUGCUGAACACAGUCCUGUAAAUGAAUUCCUCACAUCAGUGCCCAACCAAAAAGAAAGGACAAUCAAGUGGUUAGCUCUCAAGGUCUGCUUUAGAGAUAGGAGGAUUUUGGAAGACCUCUGAGUUACAGCUAAUCUAUUAUAGUGGCCUUUUGCUGAAAGUAUGCAGGGCCCCUCUUUCUCCUUGCAUUAUACUCUGUAGUUUUGCUCCUUUCAAAUCUGACUCUGCCUGAAACAGGAUCAGAAUUCUAGAGGUUUGAUAGUAUGAGUUGCUGUCUGCCACCCUGGUUAUCAUUUGUAUGAUAUGGAGCAUGAGACUUUAUGGAAGUUGACAGGGAGCCAGUGAGUACCUGGCUCAGUUUAAUUAGGCUGAUAAGCAAACCAAUAGCAAGUAAUUAAGCAUUUAGUUAAUGACGCUACUACAUGCACUAAAGUGCUCUUACCAUCAUGAUAGUCCUGCAGAGUGCCUCUAGACUCUGAGAAUAAAGGUUUCUCCUUAUAUUGGCAGUUUAGACUUCUUUUCCAACUGAAUGGGUGACAGUAAAAAGCUGUUUUAGACAUAUGCUACUUUAAUUUUCUUGAAUUGUAGCCCAGUCUUCUACCUGGUACAUGAGCUGACAAUGUGUAUGGAUUGGUAAGAAGCAUCCAACAUGAGUGUACCUUUGUUUUGACUUAAUGUUAUAGGGAGAGGUCUAGGAGUUCCUUUUUUACUAAGCUCAAAGACUUCUUUUCAAAAUUACAGAAUUUCUGUCACUUGUAGUAAACCUGUUUAGCACUUCUUAUGUGCUGCUAUGUAGCAUGCAUUGUUUUUUGCUGAGUUUGUGAUUGGCCUAAUGUAUAUAUGAUCAAAACCAAGUCUUCAAUUUUAGCAACAAUGUCUUGAAUGCCAUGGUUUCACUGGUUGCUGUGACAUGGUGUUCUCGAGGCAAAUAAUUGAGAUGUAAUUGUGCAUGCCUGCAGAUAGUCUCACAGUACUGUAUCUGUGCGAAGUGGGCUCCUUUGAAUGAUGUGCAUUUAUAUAUUCAUUAUUAAAAAAGUGCAGUUGUGGUGAGAAGUGAGAGGGUUUAUCUUUAAAAUAUGAACAACAGGCUUAUUAGUCUAGCAACAUGUCAGAUUUCUUUAUAUUAUGAAAGUAUAUACUUAAAGUGUACACUAAAUGUCGAAGGUAUUCUUUCUUCCAUUAUCAAAAUUUGGAUGCAUACUUUUUGCUGAAGAGGAUGGAUUUUUGUGGGGAAUGGGAGGAAUGCAUCACCACCAGCCUUGAAGUUGAUAUUUCUUAAUAGUAAGGUGUGGGGUAGAUAAUCAGACUGUUUUCUCAAAGCAACACACAAAACUAUUAUGAGGGCAUUUUUACCUAUGUGUUCAGUACGUUAUUGAGUACUGAUGCAGAGUGAUGCUUCUUAGUGUAAUAUUACAGCUAAAUUAUCUACUCAGAAUAUGUUUUCAGGAUUUUCUUUUACCUCUUUUGUUCAGACAUUUGGAGCAGAUUGUUGUGUCAUUUCUAGUUCUAACAAAACUACUUAGUUUUCUUGUACUUAUACCAUAAGAAAUUACAACUAAAUGCAAGAUUUUAUUUAUUCCAUAUUGCAAAUAAUUUAUUAUGAAGUUGAGUACCAUCUCUGUUAUUGCUGUUAGACUGUAGACUAAUCUACUGUACACUAUAUCAAUUAACAUAUUACUGGUAGAAGACUUCUUGCAAAUGUACAUUUUAUCUGUUAUGAUCCCUAAAGGGCCAAGUUGUCUUACAGCUGCCAAUAUCUGUAAAAUCACUUGAGAUUUUUGCAAAUUUGUGGUGUGCAUACUCUAUAUAGAUGCAAUAUGAAGAUUUUCAUUCCUGCACAGAAACUCUACAGUGAUAUUUAGCUGUAAAGACUGGGAUUUUCAAUUACAUGAGGCAAAUUGUGUAAUGCAGAUUGAUAGAGAUUAUUUAAAAUCUGUUUAAAAGCAGAUGAUUGAGAUAAAUGUACAGUCUCAAAGAACAUUUUUUCAAGUAUUUGAAGUCUUGUACAUUUGGCUUUUUAAAUAUUGUAAAUUGUUUGUUUGUUCUUGUAAAAUUAAGAUAGGACAGCUCUAAGUAUAGAUUGUUUUGCAUAGAUGCGUUUAGCCCAGCACCUGCUGGUAACCAAGGCCCUCCUCCAAUGAUGGGUAUGAAUAUGAACAACAGAGGAACUUUACCUGGCCCUGCAAUGGGUCCUGGUCCUUCCAUGGGACCAGAAGGAGCUGCAAAUAUGGGAACACCAAUGAUGCCAGAUAAUGGAACAGUGCAUAAUGAGAGAUUCCCUCAAGGAGGCCCAUCCCAGAUGGGUUCACCUCUGGUUAGUAGAACGGGCUCUGAAACUCCUCAGCCGCCAAUGAGUGGUGUAGGUGCCGUGAGUGGUGGACCUGGUGGCUUUGGUAGAGGAAAUCCAGGGGGCAACUUUGAAGGACCUAACAAGCGUCGCAGAUACUAAAUCUUAAUUCAUUCCUUACUGUUUUAGAAAUUCCAGUACAAGUAUACAGUGAUAUGCCUUUAUAAUUUUAGCUGUUAUCUGGAAACGGUUCUAUUGUUAUUGUAGUCUUUAAAACAGUUUCUUUUGUAAAACUUUUUUUGUAUUCAGUCAUAGGCUUUGUAGCAUAGAGCAGAAAUGAUGCGGAUCAUUAUGUAAGGCAAUGUGUUUGUGACUCUAGCAAAAUGCAAUGUGUGACUAUGCUGUAAAACGUGCGGUUAUCUGAUUACAAUAAAACAAAAAUCACUGGAAAGGAUUUUGGGAAUGUUAUUACUAAUACUGAGUAAGAAUAAUUUUAUGCUUAAUUAUAAGUGGCAUCAUUUUCAUUUUUAUGUAGUUUCUACUAUGUUUCAAGAAAGUUCCACUCUUAAUAGUGUUUAGCUGAACUGCAUGGUGCAGUACAUACUGUGAAAAACUUAAAAUACAACUGCUUUUAUUUUGACUUUCAAAGAGCGUAAAUUUUUAUACAAAGUGUUCUCCAAGAUGCUGUGUCCUUGCAUCUCAAUCCACCAUUGCAAACUUAGUCACAGUAGGCUUAUCAACAGAGAUUAUCUGUCAGACAAAUUGUUAGAAAAUUUAACUUGGGGAGGGAAAAAACCAACUUGGGAAAGGAAUCUCUGUGUAUGCUAUAUUCAUAACAGUAUGAGUGAAUUUACCUAAACCAUAUUUAUGGAGGAAGAAAAUUGGUUGCAACAUCUUUGUGUUCUGCUGAUGGUUAAAGUAUCUCCCACUGCAAGGAAGGAGACAUUUCUGCCUGCUGGUCGAAAGCUUUCCUCUGUGUUUGCACAUCAUUAUUAAUAAGUAUACAUUUUCCCUAGUGGUUGGUUUGAAUAAAAACAUGUCUGUUAUCAAUGUGUAACUGUUUAAUUAGGAAACAAAUACAUGUUUUCCAGUGGAAAUAAGUGUUCACUUGUAGUUGAAUAAUAUGUAUUUAGAAGGAUUGCACAUGAGUAUUCUUCAAAAAGGUUUUACAGAACAAUGAAUUUGGAAAAUGUCCAUUUACAGCACAACUCAGGGUAAAUUUGCUGAUUGAGUUUUAAGAUAAAACUGGUAGUAAAGCUAUUAGGAAGCUUAUUAUGAUUUUGUUUUGUCAGUCUUGGAAGAUGAUGGAAAAGACCUAUUGGUUCUAUUCCUGUAAUGACAAAUAAGUAGGGAUAUUGGUUGGUUACAAUUACUCUUUUUCCUGUGCAAAAUAGUUGUAAAAUAGUGCUGUUCUUCUUUAUCAGUUCACAUAUAUUUUCAGAUGUAGCUAUAAAUUUUAUCUGUAUGAAUUGUGAUGCUAUAUUGGUUAAAAACUGAUUUGAAAUAACCUGGUGCCCUAAUAACAUCCAGAUGGUAUAUACAUAGUUCAGCAUGGGAUGAAAGCAGCAGUGAGGAUUUGUGUGUUACUUGUUAAAUGUGGCGGUGAUUGGCUUGGUGGAUUGAAUUUUGAGCAAAUGGUUAACAAGAAAAGUGCAAUAUUGCUGGCAUUUUGGAAAUACUCUGUUACUUAAAUUGCCUGUGUUAAGAUACUGUUUUCAUACAAUUCAGGAGUUAUCUUAGUGUAUCUAAGUAUGUAGGUCCUCACUUGUGACAUCUCUACCUGCUAAGCAUUUUCCUUUAGGUUGUCUUUAAUGUUGCCAUUUUUUGCUUGACUUAAUACAUGCCACAUUUUGUAAUACAAUAUUGAGUUACCUUUAGUCUGGAAUACUCUUUCCCCUUGGUAUAUGUAUCACAUUAUAGCACUCAUUCUUAAAGUAACCAUCAACCGAACUGAAAAUUGUUUUCCUUUACACACUGGUCCUAAACCUCAAGAUUUGGGAAAAUUACUUUUUUUUUCACUGCUAUAAACUAGUGUUUGCAUAUGGCAACUAGUUAAGCUCUCUGCUCUAGUGUCCUUUAUGGAGCUGAAAAUGCAGUUUACAUUGGUAUCUAGUAAGGUAUCCAAAUAUGAGGUUACUUUUUUUCUAAUAUUUUCUGCCUUUGUACAUGACUUUUUUUAGGGGAUUGAGGAAGUAUUCGGUGUGAAUUGGUAGUUCUCAACUGUAAAGCUGUACAGGGAACAUGUUUUAAAUACAAAUUAAAUUAGAUUCAAAAGAUUGGUUCGUCUUCUUCAAAGGAAUAGGCUGUGUUGUUCAGGCCUUUUAGGUAGCUCCUGUAUUUGUUUAGCUAUGUAAGCCCUCUUCCUUGUAGUGUCUGAGUAUGUUUCAGAAGAACAUUACAUAUACUGAAUCUACAGAAGUAAUUCAUACUUUCCAUGCCAGCUUCAUGCUAUUUUAAGUGCAUAUUUGUUUCACUGUAUUUUUGGUAGCAAGUGGAGGUAUGCGUGUAUUUGAAAGUUAUUGUAGAUUUUAUUUAACAUUGGUGAUUGUCAUUCCACAGUUUUGACCUACCCUUCCUGUAAUCCUCUGACUUGGAUGGCUCUGCUGCAUAGUAGCAGUGGAUUUGUCAGCUGUCCAUACUGCAGAAAAUAAUCUAUUUUUAAAUGUCCAUGAACCAAGUCCUAACAAAUACUGAAGUGUAUUUUUGGGCAGAUUUUAAGGAGUUAAUGAAGUAUGCCUUUUGUAGCUGAUGACAUGCUGCUAAGUUCAGCUUUUAAAAGUUUUCUUUGGGCUUCUUGGCUUAACUCUAAAGGCAGUGCUUCUCAUUCUGCCAAAUGUGGUAGUAACUGAUCUAGCUAUACAAUAAAUGCCUAAUUUUGUUAAAAAAGGAAUAGUCCCAAAUUGUUUCUCAAAAAUGUGUAGAUGUGGCCAACCAGUGUUUGCUUGAAGGUUCUGCCCUUCUGCUAAAGUGAUUAAUUUUUCUUGAUCCUCAUCUGGUGAAGCAGUUUAUAAUUUUUACUGUGUACACAUGUACUCAAAUUUUUAACUACAUUUGCACUGUUUGACUGGAAAGCACAGUGAAGUCCUGACACUCUGCUAUAUGCUAUGCUGAAACAAGUAGGCUUGGAAUAUAUGUGAAUCUGCCUACUACAAUGCACUUACUUUUGUAAUGUACUUACUGAGCUUUUACAUUAUUCUGGAAGUUUCAUAUUCCUAAAAUAUCUAAUUUUCCUGUGAGAUGCAAUUUUGGUAUUUAAGGAUAACAAAGCUUUAGUACUCCAUUUAAGUUCUUACCAAUUUGCUCAUUAGAUAAAGCACGUUGACAUCUUGGGAAUCUUCAUGGCGAUUCUAAUAUACUUUACUGUAUUUAUUUCCUAAGAAAAUUGUGAACUACUGUGGAUUACCUAGAAAGAAGAUUCCUGGUGUGCAGUUGUUUUAUUUGUUCUCCACAUUUUUUAUGCAGUUGUACAUAAAGAUAUAAUAAACUGGAGAUUCUUACUAGAACAAAAUUUAAAAGAGAUGUCAAGAAGACAGUAUGAACUAAAUACUUAAUUUUAAGCAUAAACCAGUAGGAUUUUAUAAUACGCAUUCUUUGAGGAGCAUUUGAUGUAAAGUAUGCUGCUACAUUCACCAAAUUAAUUUCCCUUUUUUCCACUCUUUAUUUCAGAUAUACAAUAGUUUGUAAUUACAAAUACUUUGAAAGGUACUAAACACAAACACAGUGACAUCUAUGAACUGUGUCUUGCUGAACAGUUGUAAUCUACCUUGAGAUAACUUGGGUCAAAAAUGCUGAAACAACCAAUCUAAAGGUAGAUUCUCAAAUGAAAACCAAAACCCUGUAGGCCUUUUUGGAGGGAUAAAAUAUGCUUGGAGGUGAGAUGUUCAGCAAUUAAUUAACUGGUAUGCUCUGGUAGCAUGAAGUUCAUUUUAGUUAAUGUUGCAGAAACAAAUUUUUUUGUAUACUUCCUAAUUUAUCUAUUUUUAUAAGAAGUUGGAUCAUAAUUUUCCCUUCCUAAGUCAAACUUAAGUGUAAUUGAAUUACUAAAAUAGCACAGAAUGCAGGGUAGCAACUAGAGCCAGUUUAUGUUGGACCACAGAUGUGAAGGCAUUCUAAAUCUCAUUCCCAAGACUUGAAAUGUUGCAUAUCCAUGGAGAGUUUUAGUCUGCAUGCAGCAUCUUUUGUUAGCUUGUGCUUGUGGCCAGGAAUGGGGGACUUCAGAGAACACAUACUUCCAAUGCAAUCUUAAUUGUCUUCUCAGGAGCCCUCAAAUUAUUAAUGUAAUAAUAAUAAUUAUUAACAUAAAUAACAGCACUGUGCUGUUAUUAAGGUGCUUAUCUUGGAGUUUGUUGCUUUCCAUGGGCUGUUAACUCACUCCUACCAUGAGGGAAUAUAAGUCCAAACUUUCCUGACUCAUCAGUGGUAAGGAGGGAAUAAGUGUGGCCUAUGAGAUGCAAAUCCAGUACUUUAGAUUAUUGGCUACUCAGUGCUAGUUUGGUGGCAAAUGUUGAACUGUAGUAACCUGAAAGCAUUUGCUUUCUUAAAAAUUCACUUACUGAAAUUUAAGAACUUGGUAACAAUAAAAGGAUUGACUAAAAAUUUUGACUACCUAAUGUCAAAUAUAUUUUUUCCCAUUGGAUUGUUUUUAUGUUACCUUUUGUUACAUUUCCAGAUAUACUGUAAAGUAGUUUUAUCAAUCUCAAUAGUUUAGUGUGUUUUGUUGAUAGUUUUGAGUGCCUUCCCAAAAAGUAUUUUAAAAAUCAUAGUUGUAGGCAUUUCAGGUGUGUUUUCACAGUAAUCCAUGAAAUACUGAAGCUAGUUAUAAAAUUGUCUAAAAUGUUACUUGUAGAAUAAAUAAACUGAACACGACAUUUUCAUGAAAACAGUACUUUUGUGGUUUUAAAUGCAUGGGAACAAACCCUCAAUGUGUUAAUUUUCAGUGGAAUAGAUUUUUAUAGGUCUUUUCCAUCUUGAACUUCCUUAAGAUACUAUGAAAGUUAAUAUAAUUGAAAUUUGGAGGCAUCCUUAUUAAUGAUCUUAGCCUCACUUUUAAAAGCAGUGAGAGACGUUUCUUCUAUUUGGAACAGCAGCCCUUUUUUCCUAGUUAAAGGAGCUUUUCAGAAAACCAUUCAGAGAUAAGCACAACAGACUUACAGGUAAAACUAUUAAAAAGACCCUCUGCUCUAAUGUAAUGAUUAUUAUACACACAAAUCACAUUGAAAGAAAAAAAGCAACUUUGUUAAUGUGGGUAAAAGCUCCAGUGAUUUAUAUGUUGUCCCUUGAGUGUAGAAUAAAAUACUCAUAAUAACAGGUAUGAGAUUCAAAAGGAAUUGGAUUGUGUUCUUACAUACACAUGUGGAUAAGGUUUUUCUGUUUGUUUAGGUAAAUUAUUUGUCUAGAGCUUCCAUUGUAUCUAGAUUUACUAGUGUGCUUUUAUGUCUCAAUUUCUGUAGAGUAAAGCAUAGCUGUAUAAUUUGAUUGAUUUUACAUGCUAAUUGUAUGCGGGACAUUAAGUGCUUGACUUGAAAGAAUUGCAGUGAGAAUGAAGAUACUGUUCUUGACUUUAAGUAAAAACUUCGUAGAUCCUUGAACAGGAAUAAGUGUGGAGGGUCCUGUAUGUAAAUUGAACGAAAAAAUGGGAGAGAGGGAAUAAAGUAAUGUAAUAAAAG